AGGAGAGGACCAGACCUGCUGACACAGUGCCCUUCAUUCAUGGAGCUGACACCUUCCAGCAACAGGGGGUCUUGGAAAUCAACCCCAGGUAAAUCCACAAGACCCCUUUGGUUUACCACCUGCAUCUCAAGGCUGUUAUAGCUUAAGAUAGGUUAGUAAAGUGCUAGUGGGAAUGAGUUUAGGUGACUUCUCUCUUUCAGUUUGCCUUUGUCACCCAAAUGGGUGGGGAAAGCCACCACUGUGCCCUUUCCACUGCAGCCCUGUCCCCCCCGUGCUCCAGUUUUGGACCAGCCACAGCCUCUGUGCUGGAUGGAUUCAGGCCAGCAAUGCAGGAGAACACCAGGAGUUUACUUGGGUAAACCCUGUAUCAGUUGUCUGAGGAAGCACUGCUUGUGCUUGGAGUCUGGCCACAAACUAUGGCAACAAGGAUUCCUCUUGACAGCGAAAAAGAGCAGCGGUGGUGUGUGGGUUUCUCCCACUCGGAGGAAAAAGAGAAAACCAAACCCAAACAACCCAACUGUGUGCAGAGACAGACCAGUUUCCACCCCAGCAUGUGGUGGUGGGUUCUUCACAAAACCAGAUGCUGAAGGUCGGUCUCCAAAGUCCCCCUGCUGACAGUGCCAAGGGCCAUCGCCAAACCGCUGCGUGCCAGUGCUGGACUCGCUCCUGCGGCUCUCUGCUGCUGUGGAGCUGCCGAUUCCUCCCGCUCACAAUCUGCUGAAAGGAAAACCCCUGGAGGGGAUGCAGGUGCCGAGAGCAGCAGGAGGGUUCCGAUGCCAAAAACCUUACCCCGAGCCAUGUCACUGAAUAAAAUACAACUGAAGAAGUCCAAAAUCCCAGCAAACACGAAGGGGAGAAAGGGCUAAACCCCCUAUUUUCAAGCAAAUCACUGCUGUGAAACCUCCUCUCUGAGAAGCUGUGGCUGCCCCAUCCCUGGCAGUGCUCAAGGCCAGGUUGGACACAGGGGCUUGGAGCAACCUGCUCUAGUGGAAGGUGUCCCUGCCCAUGGCAGGGGGUUGGAACUGGAUGAGCUUUAAGGUCCCUUCCAAUCCAACUAUUCUAUCAUUCUAUGAUUUCUUGCUGAUGUUUUUACUGGCAAAUACAGUUUUCACUCCUCUCAUACAAGCCCUUGUUCCCCAAGAGUACCAGGUGCUGGGAUAUGAUUAAAACUCCUCUUUGCUGCUA
rnacentral:lncRNA from 1 species